UACAGAGGGUGCAAGCGUUGUUCGGAAUUAUUGGGCGUAAAGCGCGUGUAGGCGGCUUUGCAAGUCGGGUGUGAAAGCCCUCAGCUCAACUGAGGAAGUGCGCCCGAAACUGCAGAGCUUGAGUACCGGAGAGGAUGGCGGAAUUCCCCAAGUAGAGGUGAAAUUCGUAGAUAUGGGGAGGAACACCGGUGGCGAAGGCGGCCAUCUGGACGGAUACGUGACGCUGAGACGCGAAAGCGUGGGGAGCAAACAGG
rnacentral:rRNA from 1 species